CUGAUUGGGUUCCAUUAAUAUACCCACCAGAACUAGAAAUUAAAGAGACCACAGACACGGUUUCCUCCGCCUCAUUUUUAGACUUAUACCUCGAAUUUGACAUACACAGUCAUCUCAGUACCAGAAUCUAUGACAAACGAGACGAUUUUAAUUUUGAAAUUAUCAAUUCCCCCCACCUUAGUAGUAAUAUACCAACUUCACCUGCAUAUGGAAUAUACAUUUCCCA
rnacentral:lncRNA from 1 species